AUGGAAAAGGAGGAGGCCAGACCCGAGGCCAACCGCAGACUGGGGUGUAGCCGCCCCCACCGAGCGCUGAGCCUCGGGGGAACCGACCGCUGUCCCACCUGCGCGCCGCCUUCGGGUUGGCGCCGCCUCCUCGCAGAAGCCUUGCGGGACCCAGGCGGGCGCGGGCACCUCCCUUCCCCCGGCCCCGUCCUGAGCUGGAGCUCCCGGAGCUGGCUUCCCGGCUGGGGGCGCGGAGGCGGGACGGGGCCGCGGCUCGGGGCCCGGCGAGGAGAGGACCGGGCGGGGGAGCGGGGAGCCGGGGCGGGAAGGGGCGAGGUGAGAACCGAGGGGCGGGGCCCGGGGGCCGAGCCAGACUCCGAGACGCCGCGGCGACGCCAGGGACACCGACCGAGGGCGCCAAGGAAGCAGUGGGGAGCCCAGGACACGACCGCGGACUGGAGGGGCCGCCGCGGGGUCGCGCCGGGCUGCACCGGGCGUCCGACAGCCGGAGAUCGUGCUCCGGGGGCAGCGCCGGCGUCCUGCCGCCCUGCUGCGUCCACCGGGAGACUCCGGGGCCUCCCGCGGGCAGCCGGGCAGCCGGGCAGCCGGAGCGGGCUCCUGGACCCGUGCGGAAGGGUGAGACAGGGAGCUGAGCUGCGUGCCCUGAGUUCCUGGCGACGGAUGCUGCUGGAGCCUGGUCCCGCGCGCCCUCUAGGGCUUCCUGGGCUUCGUGUUAGCCCUGCUGAGACACCCAGGAUGCUGGCUCAGUAUGGGGCAGAGCCAGCUUUGUGAGCCCAGCCGGACUGACUCCAGUUUGCACCCACUGUCUGUGCUUCAAAGUUGGGCUCCUGGCUCCUAGCCCCACCCACACAGCAGACAGCCCCUCUUUCUACCUCCUGGCUCCCUCCAGCUGAGGACCUCAGAGCCCACAGGCAAGGAACCCUCUCUACAGGUCAGCUUUUCACUAUUCCAUUGAAAGCCGUAGCCCUUCUUCCACUGAAUUUGCAGCUAUGGACCCUUUCUCUGUUUGAGGCAGUGACGGACACAGGCUGGGUGUCCAGGUGACAACUGAAGGUCUGGACGGGUCUGCUGGCUGACUGGCUUCCCGGGAGGCAGAGGGGAGUUUCUAGACAAGGCAUCUGCACUCUCCUCCACCUUCUCCUGCACCUGUGGCCCUGGCAGCCUCCAGGGACACCUGCUGGAGACCUACUGCAGAGGCGACCCUCCUCCUCAAGACCUCUCCGCCACAGGUGCUCAGUGGUGAGCGGAGGUCGCCAGGCCACCUUGGAACUGUGCCCUCAUUGGCCACAAAGUUAAAUAAAAUGGUUGCGUUGUAGUGAUAACCUCUCUGA
rnacentral:lncRNA from 12 species